UUUUGAGAAUCUCUAUUGUGAGAGUUC
rnacentral:sRNA from 1 species